rnacentral:rRNA from 1 species
GAUGAACGCUGACAGAAUGCUUAACACAUGCAAGUCAACUUGAAUUUGGGUUUUUAACUUAGGUUUGGGUGGCGGACGGGUGAGUAACGCGUAAAGAACUUGCCUCACAGCUAGGGACAACAUUUGGAAACGAAUGCUAAUACCUAAUAUUAUGAUAAUAGGGCAUCCUAUAAUUAUGAAAGCUAUAAGCGCUGUGAGAGAGCUUUGCGUCCCAUUAGCUAGUUGGAGAGGUAACGGCUCACCAAGGCGAUGAUGGGUAGCCGGCCUGAGAGGGUGAUCGGCCACAAGGGGACUGAGACACGGCCCUUACUCCUACGGGAGGCAGCAGUGGGGAAUAUUGGACAAUGGACCAAGAGUCUGAUCCAGCAAUUCUGUGUGCACGAUGAGGUUUUUCGGAAUGUAAAGUGCUUUCAGUUGGGAAGAAAGAAAUGACGGUACCAACAGAAGAAGUGACGGCUAAAUACGUG